rnacentral:tRNA from 1 species
GCCUCGCGAGUGUGAUGGACGGCACAACGAUCUUCUAAAUCGUGAGACGAUGUUCGAUUCAUCGGCGAGGCGC